AACAUAGUAUAUGACGUCACAGAGAAUCAAAGAGGACAAAGGGAGAAUCGGGAAUGAAGAAAAGCAAGCGUAGCCUAUAUGCUGCAGAAGAAAAGCGCAAGACGAAGAACAAAGACGAAGACGACAAUAAGGAUGCCGGUUUGAGGUUUUGCUUAGGCUUAGGAGUUGUGUGUUGUUGAGGUGUGGUUUCUGGAGCACUCUUACAGUGUUGCCGGAUUUGUGUUUGUGCCUCAUUUAUGCUGGACCUAAUAUGGCCAGCCUUUUUGUCAGUCACUACUUUAGUGCAUUUCUCAUAUCAAUGAAAUAUUUGCGAUUAAACUAUGGCAAACAUCUUGAUGGAUCGGAUUUUGUUGUUGUACACGUCAUUGCGUAUUUCUUCUGUAAAGGUCGAAUCUUUCAACGAUUCUGCAUUGUCCCAAUCACUUUAUAAGAACGGCA